GUGUUGGCAGACGGAACUCUCGGUGCAUCAGGAGCUGCUCAUUACAUUUUCUCGAUUUUCGCACGUUAACCAGGUAACGUUACCUAUUUAUUUAGGUACUGUGGUCCGCUGAUUUCAAGUCCCGCGAGAAGAUACAGGGGCAGGAGGUUCACAUGUCUUUCUAAUUACCGCGACGAACAGUGAACCAGAGUUCAAUGUGACUUGAAGCAGCGGUGGAACCAGCUACCUAUCUACCCAGAGCUGCCAGAAAAGCAUCGACGAAAGGCAAACUGAUGCAUGCCCUCUCUCUCGAUUCUCCGAAGCUGCCCCAAGUAAUUUCUUCGAACAACUGAAAUUCGACCUCACGUCAACGGCAUACGAUUCCAAGCGAGAACUGCCCAGAUCAUGCAUGCAGAAAAUGAAACAACAGGAUGUGGCAGAUAACAUUACAGAGGAGCAGUACUGUUCCAUAAUGCCGAACCUGAAGAUUAUUUGAAUUAAAAGAAAGACAACGACGCUCGAUAACAAAAGCGCGACCAUAUCUCUAAAUUCAAGCUCAAUGGGAUCAAAUGGACGCCAAUCAAAGAAUGAAAUAGCGAGAAGGAUCAAAAUUGUGAUUCAUUGGUAUUAAACGAAUGUAAAAUUGAUUUUAUAAAUAAAAAUGUUAGAAUACUUAGGAGAAAGAGUCUUACGAAGCCGAGAGAAUUCGAUUUACAAUUAAUACUUGUUGUUAAAAUGGAUAUGACUGCACAUAUACCUACAUUACAUAUAUGUUUUAGAAUAAUACUGGAAGAUAGAAUUGUUAAAAAUCUGUUACACAACGAUUUAAUUUAUUUA